rnacentral:rRNA from 1 species
GAUGAACGCUGGCGGCGUGCCUAAUACAUGCAAGUCGAGCGAACAGACGAGGAGCUUGCUCCUCUGACGUUAGCGGCGGACGGGUGAGUAACACGUGGAUAACCUACCUAUAAGACUGGGAUAACUUCGGGAAACCGGAGCUAAUACCGGAUAACAUGUUGAACCGCAUGGUUCAACAGUGAAAGACGGUCUUGCUGGCACUUAUAGAUGGAUCCGCGCCGCAUUAGCUAGUUGGUAAGGUAACGGCUUACCAAGGCAACGAUGCGUAGCCGACCUGAGAGGGUGAUCGGCCACACUGGAACUGAGACACGGUCCAGACUCCUACGGGAGGCAGCAGUAGGGAAUCUUCCGCAAUGGGCGAAAGCAUGACGGAGCAACGCCGCGUGAGUGAAGAAGGUCUUCGGAUCGUAAAACUCUGUUAUUAGGGAAGAACAAAUGUGUAAGUAACUAUGCACGUCUUGACGGUACCUAAUCAGAAAGCCACGGCUAACUACGUG